GAUGAACGCUGGCGGCGUGCCUAAUACAUGCAAGUCGAGCGAACAGACGAGGAGCUUGCUCCUCUGACGUUAGCGGCGGACGGGUGAGUAACACGUGGAUAACCUACCUAUAAGACUGGGAUAACUUCGGGAAACCGGAGCUAAUACCGGAUAAUAUAUUGAACCGCAUGGUUCAAUAGUGAAAGACGGUUUUGCUGUCACUUAUAGAUGGAUCCGCGCCGCAUUAGCUAGUUGGUAAGGUAACGGCUUACCAAGGCGACGAUGCGUAGCCGACCUGAGAGGGUGAUCGGCCACACUGGAACUGAGACACGGUCCAGACUCCUACGGGAGGCAGCAGUAGGGAAUCUUCCGCAAUGGGCGAAAGCUUGACGGAGCAACGCCGCGUGAGUGAUGAAGGUCUUCGGAUCGUAAAACUCUGUUAUUAGGGAAGAACAAAUGUGUAAGUAACUAUGCACGUCUUGUCGGUACCUAAUCAGAAAGCCACGGCUAACUACGUG
rnacentral:rRNA from 1 species